rnacentral:tRNA from 1 species
UAAAAACUUAGGUUAACAUAAACCGAGAGCCUUCAAAGCUCAAAACAGGAGUCAAAAACUCUUAGUUUUU